rnacentral:rRNA from 1 species
GAGUUUGAACCUGGCUCAGGACGAACGCUGGCGGCGUGCCUAAUACAUGCAAGUCGAGCGAGCUUGCCUAGAUGAUUUUAGUGCUUGCACUAAAUGAAACUAGAUACAAGCGAGCGGCGGACGGGUGAGUAACACGUGGGUAACCUGCCCAAGAGACUGGGAUAACACCUGGAAACAGAUGCUAAUACCGGAUAACAACACUAGACGCAUGUCUAGAGUUUGAAAGAUGGUUCUGCUAUCACUCUUGGAUGGACCUGCGGUGCAUUAGCUAGUUGGUAAGGUAACGGCUUACCAAGGCAAUGAUGCAUAGCCGAGUUGAGAGACUGAUCGGCCACAUUGGGACUGAGACACGGCCCAAACUCCUACGGGAGGCAGCAGUAGGGAAUCUUCCACAAUGGACGAAAGUCUGAUGGAGCAACGCCGCGUGAGUGAAGAAGGGUUUCGGCUCGUAAAGCUCUGUUGGUAGUGAAGAAAGAUAGAGGUAGUAACUGGC